GCGCGGCGGUGCCGCGGGAACAUGGGCGCCGAGGGGCGGUGCAGCGCGGCCGCGGGGGCGGAACGGCUGCGUGAGGGGACGCGUGCGGCUGCCCGGGGGCUGUGAGGGCCGGAGGGCGGCGGCGGCCGCGCCCCUCCACACGGGCCGGGGGUAUCGAAGGAGGUUGCCGAGGCGGCGGCGUUAUCUGCCGCGCUCCGAGGACAUUGGGGAUGGAUGGUCAUGCCGCUGACUUCCCUGCCCCAAAGAGGUGAGGGCUGAACUCAGACCUCUGAACCUGUCGCCUCUCCAUCACUAGUUCCCAGCUAUAGGUGCUGCCCCAAGCUCCAUCAGCACAGGAUGAUGGUUGGGUGGAAGGACCAGCCAUGGUGGGAGCACUAGGCUCUUUGUGAGGAGCCCACAUCGAGACAACCUCCAGGUCUGUGAGUGCGCCAAGGACCCGCAGAGGCCCCAGGAAUUAAUCAUGCCAUGAAGAAGGAGGCAGGAUCUCCUUCCUUAUCCCGCAAGUGGAGCUAGUGUUAUAACAAAAGGAGGGAGAAAGGAUAACAGGUACCCUGAGGCAGAUACCUUCAGCACUGUGCAGCCCACUAGUCCAAAGGAGCAUGAGGAAGCUCAGAAUGUGUGGCCUGCAAUAUGGGCAUACCUGUGCUUUCUAACCUAAGGUACUGAAAGAACCGAUAGCCCAAGGUCUGUCGCAUGGCCCUUCCAGAUUCACAUGGAGACAGAAAUUUCUUUGCUCCUGAACAUUCAGGAGGACCCUAAUAACAGCUAUAGACUCCUGCCAUGCGAAAACAUCAUUAGAAAGCUUAAAGAUAUAACAUUUUUAGAAAUAUUGAAAGCGUGAAGAAAAACCUUUUUUUUCUCUUUUCCAAAGAAAAAGUGAGGGAAAUUGAAAUAAUACACAUUUUCUAAAAGUGAGAAAUAUAUAUAGUUUAUGGAGCACAUGGACCCAUGUUCAUUCCACUUCAGUUUAGACACAUUACUGUAAUACUCAAACUGAGAACCCUGUGAUCCGUGAGCACAUCCAGUGGUGUAGCUCCAGAAAGUCAUUCAGGCCGUCCAAGGUCUGAGUUGCCUUCCGAAGGUACCUAUUCUUUCCAUCAAUUGCAGAGGGAUUCUGUGUUUUACAGUACCCUGCCUUAAGGCUACCGGCGCCUGAGGGCAGGUAGAGGGAAUCUGCACCUUGACAAGUAAUAUAAGACACAUCCUCACACCUCUGAGAAAGAUAUGUGGAGGCAGCAGGAUUCCAUCAGCCAGGGCAUGGGAGAGUUGAUAGAUACAAAGCCAGUUAGAGUAUAUUCUCUCUUCUCAGAGAGCUGGGCUGCCUAAGAUGAGUAGGCCUGCAGUAGGCAAAGAGGACAGUGCAAUGGAGGUGGAGAGAAGUAGGUACAUUUUCUUAUUCAUCAUGCGAGGCAAUGCAUCCAAAUUACUGCUGCCCAGAUUUGAGGAUGAUGCACAUUCUAUGACAGGAACUGCAGUGAAGGGGCAGACGCUUUUCACUGGCAUUUAACUGGUUGGCUUUUUUCUCAGAGCAAUCUUCUAAAAAUACUGAAUGUGCAAUGUUUUUUCAACACCACUUAAUUAGUUCCAAAACAGAGCUCUUAAUCUAUUUCCCUUGAGGCCAUCACAGCCUUCAUGUAGUUCUUUCCACACUCCCUUCUAUUUGCAAACCCCAAAGAGGGAGAGGAGCCAGUAUAAACUACUACCACUGGCUAGUAUGAACAAGCUGCAGUGACUAUAAUGGGACUGAUUAGCAGCUGAAAGACAUCGCUUAACUGGGAGAAGAGUUGCCUCCAUUUUCUUCAGUAGUACUUCACAAAAGCAAAGAGCAGUUGGCCUGUCCUAUAUGUGGCUUGCUCCUUCCUGUUGAGCUCUCUGCAAGAUCCUGCAGAUUGCUACCUGAACAAGAGAUAUUCACUGUUACCAACUCUCAAUAUAUUCUCAUGGUGUUUUCCUUAAAGAUCCAGCUUCCAGAGUCAGUUACUUUUUGUAGACCCAGUGAGUCUAUGCACCAUAAGCUGAAUACUACUGGAUCUCUUAAGUAAUAGUGGGACCUCACCUGGAGCAUCCAUGCUUGGGAAGAGGCAAUAUAGUGGAUGAAAGCUUGGAAGGUGGCACAGGAACCAUCCAGCCGGUCCAAGAACUGCCAGUGAAAAUGCUGAGAAUCCAAUGAUAGUCUCCUAAGUUAAAGGAAAUAAGGUUAAAUGAAGCUAAACAAACUGGAAUGCUUCUAGGAUCAGUGAGAAGAACCUCUUCUGAGAAGACUGGGCCUUACGCCUAAGCUAUGAGUGACGAAAGAAGAUGUGAGGACACAAAGAGAAUACUCACCAGCAGUCCCACAUUCUCCUUGGGUGGAUAGCUGUGGAUGCAGCAGCUGCCCCAACUGACAGACCCAAAGCAGAAGAGUCGGGAUCCUCGAUGCAUUACAGGGCCCAUCAUUUUAUCCAGGUGAGGGGAGAGCCCAGCUGGGAAAUUCUGUCCAGACAGUAACUACUGCUGUGAGAGGCUUUGCAGUUCUUCGUUUUUUUCUCCUGUUCAAAGUCUGUAGGAUGCUGAAUACUUUUCAGUAAAAGUAAGGAGUCCUGCUACUUUACAGUCAAGUCCCUUUAUUUUUAAAUUGCAUGCAUGAAGCAUCAACAUAAACCAAAAUCUACCAGGUAGAUGCUGUCCUCACCAACAGCAAGAGUGUACUUAUGUGCCUGCUCUUUCUUGGAAAAAAACACCUUUGGAUCACUGCAGCCACCUCCCACAAGCUCACUUAGUGAUGCUGCUGAGCCCAGCAGAUGGGAGGAGUCUGUCUGUGCUGUUGAUGCUGAGACAAAAUGGAAAAACUGUCUGUCCUCAUAACUACUACAGCCUUAAAAUUCCUGCUUUCCUUACCCUAUGUUCACAUUGUGUGUACCUCUUCAAACAAAUUAUUUGCACACGAAAUUAUACACUCUCUAAAAUUCCCAUUUGCCCACACUUGUAGUUCACCUACCACCUUCUUCCACAGAAAGAUCUGACUAAUAAAUGACUGGCGCCUCAAAUAAAACAGUUACCUGCACCUCACUGCAGAGAAUAUUCCUCCAUCUCCUAUCUAAAAUUCAGUUGUACAAAGAAGAUACGGAGAGGCCAGCUGGGAUACCAGGCUUCCACAGUGGGGAAAGAUGGCCAGGUAACAUCAAGCCACCCAUCUGGGUCCAGUAUCAAAGCAGAAUGUGUGUCAGGGUUACAGACAAAGGAAAAAAAAUGUUAUGAGCAUUACUGGUAGGAGACUGUAUAAGAACAAAAGUAGCUGGACAAGUACAGAGAGGGAUGUGUCCAUGCCUCCACACUCAGAGCUGGAUGGAUGCUGUAGAGUUACAGUGGUGUGGCUCUAUGCCCCAGUUUAGGAUCUCUUAGCCCAGCAUUAGCACCAUGCUAACUUGGCAACUCGACUUGCAACCUGGAGCCAGCUUAUGACAAGUCAGCUUUCAGCAAUAGCAAUCAGAUGUUUGACAGUGUAAGAUGUGUUACUUUUGCACUUGGAGGUUAACAGAUGGGAAAGUAAAUAAUCCUCCCCUCAGCUACGGACUGUGCCACUUUCAUUACAAGUAUUUUUAUUAGAUGAUUUUGUGCUUGUUAGAUGCAGACGUGAAGAUUUACACUUGGUUUCAAUACAAGUACAACUUCAUAGAUUCCCUAUUAAUUUCUGUCUAAAUAUAUUUUAUUAAUUUCUUCUACGUUUUCUUCUGUCUUUAAUUACCAAAGCUUGAAGCGGACAACUAUGAAAUCCUUCUCUAGGCUUUUCAUGCAAAAAUAUCUGCCAAGCUCUUCUCCAAGACAGCCUGCAAUGCGGUGGUGGUGGUGAGAGCAUCAGUCUGAGUUUUUUGACAAUGUGUAGAAUAUGUUAUCAAGGUGUAAAAAGCAAAGAGUUGCAAUCUACACAAACAAACAAUAGUGGAUCAGUGAUUAAACAGACAUGUCUGGCAUGUAUUUUACCAAUUCUGUGGGAGUUUUUUCUCAGCAAAUUUACUUACUCCAUUCUAUGGAGGAAGAGACAACAAGUUUUUUCCUGUGAAUCCUCCCUGUUCACUCAAUAUUUUAACUGGGUGUAACAACUACAGAAUUUGUCCAGCAAAAAUAUGUCUGACAGGCAUACAGUAUACAUAGUUCUGAGGAAUACACUGAAUAAUGAAAAAGACUUACAAGUACUUACUUACCUGACUUUUUAUUCCCAUCUUAUUUGAGUCCUCAUUCAUUUUUUUAAAUGUAUUUCCUUUAUUAUUUCUGUAUUUUCUAUUUCCUAGAGGUUUUUCAUACUCUAUUAUUCAGAGUGUUUGUGUACAGGAGAGAGCAUGGAUUACUAAGAUCCCAGAGAAGUUGCAGACACAGUUUCCUAGACAAAGUUAUGGAGGAGAUGCUGGGAAGUGGUGAAUUCUCUUGAGUGCAAUUGGGAAAAUCACUAUGAGGGUUGACUCUUCUUCCCUUGUGACCUGAUAUUCAUUCUUUACUUUACAGCACUGCCUAAGGCAUCAGUGACCUGCUCUCCGUUAGGAUAUUAACAAACAAAUACACCUAUAAAAUUACUUAAUUGAAUAACUUACCGUUUGCAUUUAACUAGGAGUUAAAUUCUGUCCUGCAUCACUUCAGUUUAAUCAUUUGAACAUAUUCAAAGUGAGUGUACAGUAUUAUUAUUGUUUGAUCUCUUUUUUCAUUCAUAUAGUUAUGCAGAUAAAUACUUAUAAUCCAGGGUAGGGAAAAUUCACUUAGUGUCUUUUCAUACAAUAUGGAUAAGGAGAAAGAGAUCUCUCUGGUGAUGACUAAGUAGGGCUUGUUCCAGCCAGAAUAGAGAGAAAAAAAAUAUUUCAUUUUUUGCAUGCACCUCUUUUACACUUUUCCUCCUUUCCUCCUUUUCCCUCCACUGAAGGGCUGAAAAAAAGAAAGGGAUGUUUUGAAAUGUCAAAACUGGGUAACAUCAAAACUUGAUAAAAGUUAUAAAACUUUUCUCCAUUUCAAAAGAAGUUUUAAAUCAUUGUUAAAAAGGUUUUUUAAAAUCAUUUAAUCAUCUAUUUGUUUUCAAAAAAGGCUCAUUUUCACAGGAAGAAACCCUCUUUUUGAUGAAGUAUAGUGACAUUUUCUCAUAUCUGUUCAAUCAGUAAUGAAAGGCCAUUUUUACAUGAAUUGUGGAAAAUGCUUGUGUUUACAUAUUCCAUAUCUCUUAGUAUACUAUGCUGUAAAAGGCCCUUCUACUAACCUGAGUUAAUUCCUUUAGUAUGAACUCUCCUGCGUGAGGACUUCACCCAAAAUACCAAAUAAGAUAGGUUGACAUGAUCCAGACAGAUUUUCAUUUGUUAUGUAGAUCAACUAAAUCUGUAUACUUCAGUCUUAUAUAAAUAUGUUUAAAGUAAUUAGAGACCAAAAGACUGAUUUGCAUUCAGCAACUAUAGCAGUAUCAACUAAAUAGGCAAUAAAUAAACCUAAGCAAACAAAAAUUCUGAGACAGACUCUCCAAUAUCAAGAGAUUGCUCUAGAUGUAUAGUCCUCAGAUAUUUUAAAAUAACAAUAUUCAGGUUCUUCCAUUUGUUUUCAGGUAUUCUGCUUUUGGGGUUUGUGCUUUCUGUAUGAACUUUACUUUUCUCUACAGCCGUGAGGAUUAGAAACUUUCUGAAGUGAAACUGAGAUUCUCUUGUCAUCUUCCAACUAUCUUUUUGCACAGACCUCACUAGCAUUACUCCUGUUUUAAAAACAAAUCAGACACUGCCCUACAGUAGCAACAGCUACUCUCAUAAAUCUUACAUGGCUUGGCAAUUAUCUUCCAGCUUUCUGUGGGUUCGCUGGAAAAUUAGAUAAAAUUUAUUUUUCUAACAAACCUCCCACUACUUAGCUGUAAAGCCAAAUGCAUCUUCUGAUACCCCUUGCUUUCAGCAGUGCCUCACCCUGGCAUUUAGGGCCAGUCUGUGUAUUUUUACAUAGCAGUAAACAGUAUUUGUCAAAGUACUCAAAAAGGCUCAGCUCAACACUUUCCAGACGCUCACUCUCCUCCCUCGGCCUAUACGUUUCAUAUGACAAUCACAUCAUUCGAAUCUGAAAUCACUGCACAGAUUGCCUCUUCACCUAUUUUACAGUGGAUGACAUACUUUAUCAAAUUACAUAACUACAAUAUAUGUUGCAACUUCUUUGGCAGGUAGUCUUCAGGACCCAUUAUCACUAAUAUACAGAUCUGUAGUUUUUUCAGUCUUGAUAAAAUAUAAUGAACAAUGACAUUGUUGGGGAGAGAAAUGUUAACCACUCUCUUUUUUCCUGAUCUCCUACAAAUACUCCCACAAAUAAAUACUCCCACAAAUAAAACUCUUGAUAU